UGCGAUAAGCGCCGGUAAGGUGAUAUGAACCGUUAUAACCGGCGAUUUCCGAAUGGGGAAACCCAGUGUGACUCGUCACACUAUCAUUAACUGAAUCCAUAGGUUAAUGAGGCGAACCGGGGGAACUGAAACAUCUAAGUACCCCGAGGAAAAGAAAUCAACCGAGAUUCCCCCAGUAGCGGCGAGCGAACGGGGAGGAGCCCAGAGCCUGAAUCAGCAUGUGUGUUAGUGGAAGCGUCUGGAAAGGCGCGCGAUACAGGGUGACAGCCCCGUACACAAAAGCGCAUGUGCUGUGAGCUCGAUGAGUAGGGCGGGACACGUGGUAUCCUGUCUGAAUAUGGGGGGACCAUCCUCCAAGGCUAAAUACUCCUGACUGACCGAUAGUGAACCAGUACCGUGAGGGAAAGGCGAAAAGAACCCCGGCGAGGGGAGUGAAAAAGAACCUGAAACCGUGUACGUACAAGCAGUGGGAGCACAGGUUUACCUGUGUGACUGCGUACCUUUUGUAUAAUGGGUCAGCGACUUAUAUUCUGUAGCAAGGUUAACCGUAUAGGGGAGCCGUAGGGAAACCGAGUC
rnacentral:rRNA from 1 species